GACGAACCGUACGAACGUUAUUCGGAAUCACUGGGCGUAAAGGGUGCGUAGGCGGGUUUUUAAGUCAGAGGUGAAAUCCUGGAGCUCAACUCCAGAACUGCCUUUGAUACUGGAAGUCUUGAGUAUGGGAGAGGUGAGUGGAACUGCGAGUGUAGAGGUGAAAUUCGUAGAUAUUCGCAAGAACACCAGUGGCGAAGGCGGCUCACUGGCCCAUUACUGACGCUGAGGCACGAAAGCGUGGGGAGCAAACAGG
rnacentral:rRNA from 1 species